CUGGAGCGGGGCCAGGGGGAGCCGAGCAGACUCACCCCAGGAUGUGGACCCUGAGUGGGGGGAGAGAGAGAGGCUGCUCUGGCUCAGUCACCUGAGGGCUCCACCCCUGGACAGCCAGGGCAACAUACUGCCCCCUAGUGGCUUUAAACGGCGUGGACGAUAUGGGCCGCAGACAGAGGACCCUCAGACAGGAAUGACACACACCUCCACCACCCAAAGCCUGCCCCUGCCGCCUCUCCUCAUGCUCCGCAGACACACCCUCUGCUACCGGUUACCUCGGAAACGACCCCCGGAGCACCUGAUUUGCCCCAUGAAGGGCAGAGCAAAGACUUCCUGAACACUCACCCUGACAGUAAAGACUACUGACUAUCUUCAUCAUUGUCUGUGUUGCAACCUUCUUUUUGUUUAAUAGAUGGCAGUCCAGUGAACCUUUCACUGAACUGCCAUCCAGUGAGGGGUUGUUCAAUGGAAGUUACAAAAUAAAUGUUUGGGCUGUGGGCCUAAAUCCUU